UCCGUCUGGCGUGUCGUCACCAUCCCGCGCCCUGCCGAGGUCGUUCUUCGGCGUCACCUCGUCUCUGGGUGUAGCAUUUCUCUUAUCUCCAUUUCACAAAGACUGCCUAGCAUGCUGUGCAGAUGAAAGAUAUGUGGAGGAACCAGCUGUCUCAGCUGAGCCCAGACACCAGCCGGGAGGAUGCAGCUGCAUGAGUGAGCUGGAGAGACCAACAGCUACCCAGGCAACCAUCAGAAUGCAGGAAAAAAGGAAUGUGAGGAGCCGUCUGGCAAUUGAGCAGUACCCUUCGCCUGGGAGACAUCCCAAGUGCUCCUGUUAGAGCAACAGCAACUCUGAAAUGGAAUAGUAGGAGCAGGUGAUGACUAGCCUACGGAAGAAUGUGUGUCUUCACUUAGGCACAGUAACAUGAACACUUCAUAAUAAAGUUCCAUUAAUGUCAAUAAA